rnacentral:rRNA from 1 species
GGUGAACGUUGGCGGUGCGUCUAAUACAUGCAAGUCGAGCGAGGCUUCGAGCCGAGCGGCGGACGGCUGAGUAACACGUUGGUAGCUACCCCCCACUCAGGGAUAACCAUUGGAAACGAUGGCUAAUACCGGAUGGUCCUGUAAAGGUAAAGCUUUUGCGGUGGGGGAGGUGCCUGCGGCCUAUCAGUUAGUUGGUAAGGUAACGGCUUACCAAGACGAUGACGGGUAACUGGUCUGAGAGGAUGAUCAGUCAGAGGGAAACUGAGACACGGUUCCCACUCCUACGGGAGGCAGCAGUAAAGAAUCUUCCACAAUGGGCGAAAGCCUGAUGGAGCGACACCGCGUGCCAGAUGACGGCCUUCGGGUUGUAAAUGGC